GAAAUUAUCAGAAAGAAACCACAAUGGUGUCUCCAGUUCCUGUUAUUACCAGUUUUGAGAACUUCAGCCAUUCUCCUGCAGAGGACAACAUGUCUUCUCAAUAUCCUCCUUACGCCAGUACCUCUAGAGUUGAUACAUUGCUCGCCCCCAAAAGUAAAGACUCAAAGACAGCUAAGAAGGGUUCCACCACAAACACAUUUCCUUCAAAUGUAAAGUCCUUGUUGUCAACAGGAAUGUUUGAUGGGGUUACUGUCAAGUACUACUCCUGGUCACGCGAGGUCAGUCUCUUCUUUUAACCUGGAAUCAACCUUUCACCUUUACCAUGUGCUAAAAACGUUAUCUGGCAGAAAAAUCUCAAAGGAGUUAUAAAGGGGACUGGGUAUCUAUGUGGCUGCAGCGACUGUAACCUUAAUAAAGUAAGCAACGUGAUACCAACACUCUUAGAGUCAUUUACUGGCAUGUCUAUCUAAUACAAAAUCUAAUGCAACAGGUUCUUAAUGCAUAUGAGUUCGAGCAGCAUGCUAACUGCAAGACGAAGCAUCCAAACAAUCACAUAUACUUUGAGAAUGGAAAGACCAUUUAUGGAGUUGUUCAAGAGCUGAAGAAUACGCCUCAGGAGAAGCUGUUCGAUGCUAUUCAAAACGUAACGGGAUCUGAUAUCAACCGUAAAAAUUUCAACACCUGGAAAGGUAAUGUUUCGACAGAGAUAUUUUAAUUCAAUAUAGCAGCUUAAAGCAUGGCAAUACAGAACAAGAUACAAAAGUUAUUGUGUGUUAUAUUGUCUUACAGCAUCGUAUCACGUCGCUAGCCUUGAACUUCAGCGCAUCUAUGGGAAGGAUGCUGUAGUCACUUUGGCAUAGAAGUUAUCAACUGGGAGGCCUUUUUGUUGUAAGAGUAAUCAGUUCUUGUUCUCUGUAACUAUGGCUUUUAAUUAUAAAUCAGAACCUUGAAAUGCUGCUAUGAUGCCUUGUCUGGUGAGUCUAGUUCUUGGCAACUUAAUACAGCGCAUUGCUUGCUCUAGUUCUGGCCAAUUGUACUAUUAAUACUAUCAAAAAUGUUCUUCCUAUUUUUUUUUAUUAAUAGGAGUUUUAGGUAUCAGUUUAUAUGGUUCUUGCAAUAUAUAGAGAGAUAUUGCAACAAAAUCAGCAUCUCAGACAGACUCAUGAGACUGAGUUGCUGCCUUUGGGCUCGUUAACUGGUCACUAUUGAGUGAUAUGUUGUUCUUAUCAGGCUAGUUGGAAUGAUCUGUUCGUCAUUUUUUACCAGUCUUUGUCUUUGCUUUUACCACAUAGUACCAAAUAUAUUCCAAUGACAAUGACUAACACAUGCACUCUCUCCUUUGCUGUCCAUCCAAUAUCAUAGUAUGCCUUGGUCGUCUUUCAAAUAACAUAUAUCCACAAGUUCUGAAGUAGAUUUUUCUUGAAGACUACUACUUGCCCUGAACGACAAUGUGUUUCAAUAAAAUGCUCAAAAGCUCACGAGAUAAGAAAACGCUUGAGAUAAAUAAAUGGCAAAGAGAAUGGAUAAGAAUGUCACACAAGUUCAUCAGAGUUUAUCCGGUUAAUGCAAAAGGAAACACCUUGUCUAUUUCAAGGCGUGUGUUAUGUUAUAAGUACUUCACAUGAGUUGCCAAAAGUAGAUCAAAAAGAAUAAUAAAAAGGGGCUAUAGGUGGUCUAGCUUCUCCCUGAUAUUAAAUUGACAUUAGUGUACAUUUGAGGAUUAGAGCGCUGGUCUGUUUGUGUUAAAGACUCGGUGAAGGCGAGUAAAGGUUGCAACAACAAACUCUGCUUCAUCUCUUCCAACAAAGUCUUACUUGUGUCCAUACCCGCAAGGUAUCCUCCAUGCACAUAUCCACUGAACUUUUCACUUGUGUGUUCUCCUGUGAAUAAUAUCCUUCCAAAUGGAGCCUGAUGAAUCACAAAAACCAAAUCAUAAAUUCCCACAUAAGUGCUAAAAACAACAAAAGGUGCUGUAAAAAUACCUUGACAUUUCGUUGAAGCUGAUUAUCAGAUAUCAUAGGGUAAUUGCUGUAGCUACCGCGCUGAAACCGGUUGUUCCACCAUCUAGGGACAAGAAUAUCAGUUGCGUAAGGAAUAGUGGGACCAAACAUGUCCCUCAGAACACUCAUCGCCUCUUUCAGUGUCUCCUCGUCUGAUUGGGACUCCACGCGCUUUGACUGCUCGUUGGUCAACGUCACGACCAGAAUGUUAGACCCCGGGUACGCAUUUUCCAUGUGCUGAUUUAAAACAGGAGCAACAACAGUUAGAUUUACAGACUGCAAGCUGGAGAGUAGAGAGCAAGCAAACUUGUAAUAAUAUAACAAGCUACAUGGACCAUGCAGCUGGUUAGACACUCGAGAUAAUUUAAAGCAAUGAUGAUAAUAAUCAAAGGGACCCCCCAGGUGAUUAAUAAUAAGAUUAGUAGGGAGUGCAUGUGCCACGUUUCUCACGUAUGUGGACUGAAUAAAAAGAUGCAUUGAGAUUAACAAACUACUGAUAAUAUUUUAAUUUUUUUAAGGUAAUCAACCUGCCAAAAGGUGAAGUAGCCGCGUUGUUCGUGCGCAUAGAUGAAAAACUCUUGGCCAGGACCACAUGGCCAGAAACAAUGAGGGAAUUUGAGGAAGAUCUUGGUGUACACCAUCACAUCACAUUUUUGUAUAGCUUCAGUUUUCCAUUUCUGUCACCAAUAAUAGUACUGGUUAGUAAGAUCACUUGAAUAAAGAUAAAAAGAAAAAUAUUCUGACUUCUGAGACAAAGUUUAACAUGCAUGUUUGUUAAUUGUUUAUGUUAUCUUAAAGGACUCCUUCUUGAAUUAUGUGGAUCAACCAUGCAUAACCAACCCAUUGUAUUUGAUGUAUGGUUUUGAUAAAAAUAAAAAAAAAUGAAUUCUGACUUUCUUUACCUAAUGGCUAACGCAAUUUUAUAUUUCCUAGGUUCACGUACAUUGAAUGAUUAAAAAACCUCCCCCUUUUUGUGUUAUCUUUAGCGUUAAAUAAGCAUAAAAGAUAAGACAAAUAAGUAGUUGAUUAUAAACUAGUAAUAAUAGGAGAAGAGGAGAAAGUAAGCUAACCGGUAAAGGAGGCUGGAAUGAGAUAAGAUUGGAUUGGAGAACACCAAUACUAGCAGACACGAUCACAUAAUUGGCCUCGUAUUCGGAACCAUCCUCUGUUUUCACCACAACACCAUUCCUCGACUGUUGCACCUCCCUAACCACCUGCCAUUAAUUCACCACUAAUAUAAGAUUACUAAUACUACUAUAGCAAUAGGUGCCAAAAACUAAGCCAGCUGGUUUCUGAGAGGCAAUAAAUAAAAACAAUGACCCCACACAACUUGAAAUCAAUUUUCACUACAAAACAAAUGCUGAGACUGAAGAGAAACCUAGCAGCUGUGGUUUAGUUGUCAAACUUAGCAGGAAAAUGCAAAUCAACAACAGCUAAAAGGCAAAAAGGAGCUUUUCCAAAAUAACGUCAUAAUAUACUCCUUUUAACUCAAGUAAAAGAGGUCCAUCAAAACCUCAUCGUUUAACAACAGUCGAAAGAUAUUUUUUGUGCACAGGUGUUGAAGAAGAAAUAGUUUAAAAAAAAUCUACAGUACCUUGUUUAGUUUGAGGCGGUUGUCCAAAAUGUUACCAUCUGAGGUAUAGAGAAAGCCCUCGGCCAUUUUGUAAAGCAAUGAUUCGUAACCUCUUUCAUCAGCAACCAAAUAUUCCCUUUCACCGAAGUCCACGUAAGUCGAUAUUGGCUCAACCUCUGAACAACACGGUAACGAAUACAAUGUCAAGAAAUUGCUAGGCGGUAAUUAUACGUUUUGUUGAUUAGACGGACUUUUUUUUUUUUAAUGUUUAGAUCGAUUUUUCAAAAAUCCGUUAAAAAAAUUAUUUCCUUUAAAUCCGAUUUACCGUGUCAGUACUAUUAGAUGUAAUGAUGAAAAACACUGUUAUAAAACAGACAAAAUAUUAGAUGUAAUGAUUACCUGCCAUCUCGAAAUCAUGCAGGAUGAAGUCAAUAGCGAGUUCUAUUUUGUCUGAUGUUGUCACAUAUAGUUCAAGUAUGAGUCUCGUAUUGUUGAUAGAAGAUUCUUCCAGAGUUAUUUUGAAGGACAACAAUAUGGUUUAAGGAAGCUAAGUAUACAAAUUUAUUGAAAAGAUUGGAAAUAUAUUGAGUUUUAAUAAAUAUAAAUUGAUAAUUUUAGAACCCAGAACCCAAUUAAUAUCUUAAACCAAAACAAUUUUGGAUUCAAACAUGUAACUAAACCUGAACAGAACCCGGCCCAAACUUUUAUAAUAACGGAAUGAGGCUAAAACUCAUGAACCUGAAAUCCGACUGGGACCCCGAUUGUCCAGCCUUGGAUAACCUUCUUGUCCAUUUUAUUUGGUCAUGAGUUUUAUAGAGGCCAUACUGGUGCAGAGCAUAUGACUUCCCUUCUUCAUAUUAUAAAAAGAAUUCAGCCCAGUCUUGUGACCUAUAUUAUAAAACGAAUUGGGCCUAAUAAGAAAUAUGGGCCAUUUGUUUUAUAAUAUGGAAAGCCCGAAUCCCAUACUUCAAGGCUUUGCUUAUUUGUCUUGGCUAAAGCAUCAAUUUCAUGGGUUGGUUUUAACUUUUAAGAGAAGGAUGAUGCGAACUAGCAUCUUGCAGUUCUGGUGAGCAGCGUAGAAACUGGUUAUGAGCCACUUGUAAUCUGAUUGGUGUUUUUGGAAAAGACUCCAUAUCCCAUCUGUACUACUUCCCAUCUUUGAUCAUUAUGUUACAUGAAAAUUGUACAACUUGUAAAUAGACCACUAACAAAAUAAGGAUGGAUGUUAAGUUAAAAUGGUAAAAAUCACUUUAUCCUAAAUGUCCUUGCGACAACCCUAUGGAGAAAGAAAUGAGAUACUGUGUGGGGCCAGUAUCAUAAUUGAUAAGUUGACCCAAUCUGUCAAACAUUUUUCACACAUAUCAUCAUCAUGUUAAAUUUUCUUCAUCUAAUAGUCACACUCACACCAAAUGAUUCCCUACCAAACAAGAAAAAAGAACAAUCGUCAAGUAAUCUGACAAGGGGCAUUACUUGUAAAUUGUAACUCUCUACAUACUCGUAACGACCGGACGAUUCGUGUCCCUUUAGAGUUUUUGAUGAUCCUCUCUCUCUCUCUCUCUCUUGUGUUCACUCUUCCCCUCAACCUUUGGAUUCUCCUCGCGACUUCUCUCUUUUGGAUUCGCCGUUGGAGACUUUAAGAACAGCUCUGCCAUUUCAUUUCUAUAGUUGCAAAAGGUAAAGACUCGAGAUCGUCUCGUGGUGGUUCAUGGUUUUAGGGUUCAAAGUUCCUAAUUUUACUGUUCAUUUGAACCAAAGUUAUCGAUGACGUCAUGCUCACACUCCAAUCUGCAUUUUAUAGAAACCUUUAGUUUUUUUUUUUUCUACUCCUCUUCUUAUUGGUUAUAGACUAUUUCAUUGCGAGUGAGUGUGUGUGUUGUUGAUUAUUUCUCUUGCUGGUUUGUUGACAGAGGAUGAGUACAGAUCUUGUUAGAGAAGAUGAUGUUGAGGAGAAUCCUUCUUCUGUCUCUUCGAGAAUGGACCUAAAACGGAUUCAUCAGUGGCUGACACAAGAAGAGUCCUCCGGUUCAGAACUAUUCAGUAAUAAGAGACAAGUGGUUGAGACUGAUAGUGGUUCCCGGACGAGUUUCUUAACUCCUCCUCUUAUGUCUGCUUGGGACAGCUCACUUGUGCCUAACUGCUUAUUCGAUCCUGCUAAUCCACAGCAUACAUCACAUCUCCUUGGUAGAUAUAUCUCUCCUGUAGACCAGGAGGUGCUUCAUGGUAGCUCAUUUAAUCUUGACACCAUUAGAAAGGUCACAGUCAAUAAUCAAGUGUGUGAAUCUCAAAACAUGCCCCAAUCCAUGCUUCAGUUUUAUGAUAGCACCCCCUCUUUUGGCCAAACCUGCAGCAGUAUUGACAAGAGCUUCACCUUGCCAGGGCCAAACUUGAGUUAUGAUAAAGGAGAUGAAAAUGUCUUCUCAACAUUCCAUCCAUUUGGGAAAGGAGUAGAAAGCUUUGCGUUGAUGGGUCAGUCUCUUCAAAAGGCUGAUUAUAACAUCUUCUCUUAUAACAAGGGACAUGAGAACGUCAUGUCUAAUGCCAAUGUUGUGUUCUCACAAGGCUGUGAGAUGGCAUUUAUGGUUCCUAGCCAAGAAAAAGCAGACAAGAACAGUGAUCAAACUAGUCAAGAGGUUAGAAGACAGACCAUAUCUUUUGGAAAUUAUCAGAAAGAAACCACAAUGGUGUCUCCAGUUCCUGUUAUUACCAGUUUUGAGAACUUCAGCCAUUCUCCUGCAGAGGACAACAUGUCUUCUCAAUAUCCUCCUUACGCCAGUACCUCUAGAGUUGAUACAUUGCUCGCCCCCAAAAGUAAAGACUCAAAGACAGCUAAGAAGGGUUCCACCACAAACACAUUUCCUUCAAAUGUAAAGUCCUUGUUGUCAACAGGAAUG
rnacentral:lncRNA from 1 species